rnacentral:rRNA from 1 species
UACGAAGGGGGCUAGCGUUGCUCGGAAUGACUGGGCGUAAAGGGCGCGUAGGCGGCUCAUACAGUCAGGCGUGAAAUUCCUGGGCUCAACCUGGGGACUGCGCUUGAGACGUGUGGGCUUGAGUGAGGAAGAGGGUCGUGGAAUUCCCAGUGUAGAGGUGAAAUGCGUAGAGAUCGGCAGGAAGACCAAGGGGGAAGCCAGGCACCUGGGCCCGUACUGACACUCAUGGACGACCGCGUGGGGAGCGAACCGG